GGCUACACCAUGAAAGCUUUGAAAAGCAAGAAGAAACUCCGUAGUUAAGCGUGCUUAGGCGAGAGUAGUACUAGGCCGGGUGACCUCCCGGACAGUCCUCGUGUUGCAUCCC
rnacentral:rRNA from 1 species